UGAGGAAUAUUGGGCAAUGCCCGCAAGGGUGACCCAGCAACGCCGCGUGGAGGAUGAAUGUCGUAAGAUUGUAAACUCCUGUUAGAGGGGAAGAAUAGUACCGGUUGGACCGGUAUAUGACUGUACCCUCAGAGAAAGCCCCGGCUAACUACGUGCCAGCAGCCGCGGUAAUACGUAGGGGGCAAGCGUUGUCCGGAUUUACUGGGUGUAAAGGGCGCGCAGGCGGGAUAAAAAGUCAGUGGUGAAAUCCUACAGCUUAACUGUAGAACUGCCUUUGNUACUUUUAUUCUUGAGUUCGGGAGAGAGAGACGGAAUUCCAGGUGUAGUGGUGAAAUACGUAGAUAUCUGGAAGAACACCAGUGGCGAAGGCGGUCAACUGGCUCAUAACUGACGCUCAUGCACGAAAGCGUGGGGAGCAAACA
rnacentral:rRNA from 1 species